AACACAAGGCUUGGGCCUGUUUUUAUAGUUAAAAUGUGAGGCGAGUAAUAACAGCCUAGGCCUGAAUUCAACGGUCAACUGCGCCAUUCCAAACGUCCGGGCCUGGCACUGCGAGACGCUUCAUGUUGAUGAGAAGGAUUGAAAUAUCAAUGGCUUCCAGUCAAAGACUAGGUUCAUUAUACACAGGCCUCUUCCUUUUCCUUCUGUCGGUCUGUCGUUUGACUGCCCAAGUAUCCAGUGCCACUAAUUGCGAGGACAGCAGCUCCCAAGCUGUCCAUUCGCUCCUCUGUACCUUGCCUAUAAACGUCAACAUCACACGUAAAGAGUUUACGGUCUCCUUCGUUCCGGACGAUGGUGCUGAAGUGUCCUUGGUGGACUGCAGAUGGCCUGGAGAUGGGUUUUAUUGCUUCAAGUGGAAAGGUGUGGACUGUGUGCAGCCGGUGUCAGACCGGGUCAACAUCACUGUACCUGGAAGUGUUGCCUGCAAGACAGGACAAUACAGAGUCAAAAUAUUUGACACCAGCCAUCUGGGCAAGGCAACCUGUCGUCCCGCCAACCAGCUUGAUGGACAUGUGGAUCUUGUAACGCAAGCCAAAAACGAAGAUCUGACACCACCUAUAGAUGAAGACACAGACUCAACAGUCAUGAUAGUUGGCGUAUCGGUAGCAGCUGCAGUUGUGAUGAUUCUGCUUGUUAUUGCAGUUGUUUUGUACAUCAAGAGAAAAGAGUUUCAAGAUUGGCUAAAGCGAAAGGCUUCAGAUAAACGACCGAAAGUAGCAGAUUACCAGCCUACUCUUUCAGGCGACCCCGCGCGUGUGUGAGGUCCGCUACGUCUGUCGGCGAUGACGUGUUCCUGGUGGCGACACUUCGGUUCACCUCUACACUGACAGGUCUUCAGCUCACCUCUACACUGUCAGGUCUUCGGUUCACAUCUACACUGACAAGUCUUCAGUUCACCUCUACACUGUCAUGUCCUCUGUCCUCUACACUAUAUCAAUGCUAUGUCUGGUUGAACUUAAUACAUUCAACAGGUGCCUGUUAAAGGGACUUACUGACAUAUUGAUGUGGCUACUAGCUAAAACCAAUCAACUGACUGUAAAUUUAAAUGUUUUGCGCGACAUGUGCUUCGGUCAUACAGCAAUUCUAACUUCGCUAUGCGUUCAUCUGUUAGACAAUGUUUUUACCCUUGGUUUUUUGUGGCUUAUGAAACCAGCGUAAAAUUUGCAUUAAAAUAAUAUACUAUUAAUCUAAUCCAUUCAUUAAUCCAUCCGUACACACUUACACUUAUGCCGAAUAAUAACAAUAAUAAUAUCAUCACAUUAUGACUGCUAAUAUCUGUUAAAUAUUCGGAUAUUUUUGAAAGAGCUGGUUGUAUCACUUGAACUUGCAACAUUUGUUCUUUGUGUGUUUUCCCUGGAAGAUGUCAACAAACGUGAAGAACUGGUUUGCUAGAUUCUCAUCUGUAUUUCAGCUCUUGCAUGUCUUUAAAAGUUCAAAAGGUUACAACUAAAGACUCUAGAAUUACACAAAACAUCGGUGUACACCCCCAACCCCCACCACCACCAAGUUCAACGUUUCAGCGAGGACAUGUGACAGGCGUGUGACACAUGUAUGACACGUGUGUGACACCUGUGUGACGUUUGUCAGCGGUGACGUGCUUUCCUGGCGGCGACGCUUCGGUUCACCUCCAGCUGACAUCUGCCCACCCGGAACUGGACUUGCUGCCUUCUGUGACUUGUGGUCUGGAGAGGUUGGGACACGUGGGUUCCUCCAACACAGCUCCAGUUGACUGUCAUGCUGAUCAUUGUUGAGUUAUUCUGUCGAGCGACAUGUCAGUCAGUAGUCUGUCAGUGUGUUCAAUGUAGCUUGAGAAUGUCAGAAGUAGGUUUCAAUACAUUUUUCUCAGUUAGAAAAAUCAAGACAAUAAAUUCAGACUUUUGUGAAGGAUAUAUAUAUAUAGAUCAUCACGGAUUUUAAACAACGAGCUUGACAAAAUUAUUGUGAACAAAAUUUAUUCAAUUUACUUUUAAUUACGUUUUACACACGUCACUGUAGUGUGUAACCAAAUUUUUUUGGAGUUUGGAUAAAAAUACUUGAUAAAAGAUUAAUUUUCUCAAUACUUAUACUCUACACUUCAUAUCACGUGACCUUUUGUGAAGACAGAUUUGUUUCAGAAGAAAUUAUCAGUGAUGAUCUAUAGAACAACUAUUGCAUAAUAAUAAAACAAUAAAACUGUUCCAGCAUGUAACUAAUACUUUGAUUAGCUGUUACUUAUCAUUGAUGAUUUGAAUCAUUUGUUUUGUUUUAUGGGAGUGUUGCUCGAUAAUGUCUGCACAUCCUGUACUUCCAUGUGAUUUGUAUGUUGCGCAAAGCUUGAUUUACACUUUGUUUUAUUAAAUAGAUUUUCAAUGCAGUAAAUAAAAUUUUUAAUACGCUUUUGAAACUUU
rnacentral:misc_RNA from 1 species